GUGCUCGCUUCGGAGCAGGUACACUGAAAUCGAACAACUCCAAGAAGGUUAGCACGGCCCCCACUCAAGGAUGACUCGCAAAUUCAUGAAGCGCUCCAUAUGGGU
ensembl:snRNA U6 U6 spliceosomal RNA